rnacentral:rRNA from 1 species
UAACAGAGGUCUCAAGCGUUGUUCGGAUUCAUUGGGCGUAAAGGGUGCGUAGGUGGCGCUGUAAGUCGGGUGUGAAAUUUCGGAGCUUAACUCCGAAACUGCAUUCGAUACUGCGGUGCUUGAGGACUGGAGAGGAGACUGGAAUUCAUGGUGUAGCAGUGAAAUGCGUAGAGAUCAUGAGGAAGACCAGUGGCGAAGGCGGGAUCUCUGGACAGUUCCUGACACUGAGGCACGAAGGCCAGGGGAGCAAACGGG